rnacentral:rRNA from 1 species
UGGACCCGUGAUCCGGGUUGCGGACAGUGUCUGGUGGGUAGUUUGACUGGGGCGGUCUCCUCCUAAAGAGUAACGGAGGAGCACGAAGGUUGGCUAAUCCUGGUCGGACAUCAGGAGGUUAGUGCAAUGGCAUAAGCCAGCUUGACUGCGAGCGUGACGGCGCGAGCAGGUGCGAAAGCAGGUCAUAGUGAUCCGGUGGUUCUGAAUGGAAGGGCCAUCGCUCAACGGAUAAAAGGUACUCCGGGGAUAACAGGCUGAUACCGCCCAAGAGUUCAUAUCGACGGCGGUGUUUGGCACCUCGAUGUCGGCUCAUCACAUCCUGGGGCUGAAGUAGGUCCCAAGGGUAUGGCUGUUCGCCAUUUAAAGUGGUACGCGAGCUGGGUUUAGAACGUCGUGAGACAGUUCGGUCCCUAUCUGCCGUGGGCGCUGGAGAACUGAGGGGGGCUGCUCCUAGUACGAGAGGACCGGAGUGGACGCAUCACUGGUGUUCGGGUUGUCAUGCCAAUGGCACUGCCCGGUAGCUAAAUGCGGAAGAGAUAAGUGCUGAAAGCAUCUAAGCACGAAACUUGCCCCGAGAUGAGUUCUCCCUGAGACUUAGAGUCUCCUGAAGGAACGUUGAAGACGACGACGUUGAUAGGCCGGGUGUGUAAGCGCAGCGAUGCGUUGAGCUAACCGGUACUAAUGAACCGUGAGGCUUAACCUUAC